rfam:Coccomyxa sp. C-169 plastid, complete genome.
AGGCCUAUAACUCAGUUGGUAGAGUUCCUGUCUUACAAACAGGCUGUCAUCGGUUCGAGUCCGGUUGGGCCUA